UACGGGGGGGGCAAGCGUUGUUCGGAAUUACUGGGCGUAAAGGGCUCGUAGGCGGCCAACUAAGUCGGAUGUGAAAUCCCCAGGCUCAACCGGGGAACUGCGUCCGAUACUGGAUGGCUUGAGUUCGGGAGAGGGAUGCGGAAUUCCAGGUGUAGCGGUGAAAUGCGUAGAUAUCUGGAGGAACACCGGUGGCGAAGGCGGCAUCCUGGACCGACACUGACGCUGAGGAGCGAAAGCCAGGGGAGCAAACGGG
rnacentral:rRNA from 1 species